rnacentral:rRNA from 1 species
GAUGAACGCUGGCGGCGUGCCUAAUACAUGCAAGUCGAGCGAACAGACGAGGAGCUUGCUCCUCUGACGUUAGCGGCGGACGGGUGAGUAACACGUGGAUAACCUACCUAUAAGACUGGGAUAACUUCGGGAAACCGGAGCUAAUACCGGAUAAUAUAUUGAACCGCAUGGUUCAAUAGUGAAAGACGGUUUUGCUGUCACUUAUAGAUGGAUCCGCGCCGCAUUAGCUAGUUGGUAAGGUAACGGCUUACCAAGGCGACGAUGCGUAGCCGACCGGAGAGGGUGAUCGGCCACACUGGAACUGAGACACGGUCCAGGCUCCUGCGGGAGGCAGCAGUAGGGAAUCUUCCGCAAAGGGCGGAAGCCUGGCGGAGCAACGCCGCGUGAGUGAUGAAGGUCUUCGGAUCGUAAAACUCUGUUAUUAGGGAAGAACAAAUGUGUAAGUAACUAUGCACGUCUUGACGGUACCUAAUCAGAAAGCCACGGCUAACUACGUG